GUGGGGAAUAUUGGACAAUGGGCGAAAGCCUGAUCCAGCCAUGCCGCGUGUGUGAAGAAGGUCUUCGGAUUGUAAAGCACUUUAAGUUGGGAGGAAGGGCAGUAAGUUAAUACCUUGCUGUUUUGACGUUACCGACAGAAUAAGCACCGGCUAACUUCGUGCCAGCAGCCGCGGUAAUACGAAGGGUGCAAGCGUUAAUCGGAAUUACUGGGCGUAAAGCGCGCGUAGGUGGUUUUGUAAGUUGAAGGUGAAAUCCCCGGGCUCAACCUGGGAACUGCCUCCAAAACUGCAUGACUAGAGUACGGUAGAGGGUAGUGGAAUUUCCUGUGUAGCGGUGAAAUGCGUAGAUAUAGGAAGGAACACCAGUGGCGAAGGCGACUACCUGGACUGAUACUGACACUGAGGUGCGAAAGCGUGGGGAGCAAACAGGAUUAGAAACCCGUGUAGUCC
rnacentral:rRNA from 1 species